rnacentral:rRNA from 1 species
UACGGAGGGUGCGAGCGUUGUCCGGAAUUACUGGGCGUAAAGGGCUCGUAGGUGGCCAACUAAGUCAGACGUGAAAUCCCCUCGGCUUAACCGGGGAACUGCGUCUGAUACUGGAUGGCUUGAGUUCGGGAGAGGGAUGCGGAAUUCCAGGUGUAGCGGUGAAAUGCGUAGAUAUCUGGAGGAACACCGGUGGCGAAGGCGGCAUCCUGGACCGACACUGACACUGAGGAGCGAAAGCCAGGGGAGCAAACGGG